rnacentral:rRNA from 1 species
CAAUCUCAGUUCGGAUUGUAGGCUGCAACUCGCCUACAUGAAGUUGGAAUCGCUAGUAAUCGCGAAUCAGAAUGUCGCGGUGAAUACGUUCCCGGGUCUUGUACACACCGCCCGUCACACCACGAGAGUUUACAACACCCGAAGUCAGUGGCCUAACCGCAAGGAGGGAGCUGCCUAAGGUGGGGUAGAUGAUUGGGGUGAAGUCGUAACAAGGUACC